rnacentral:rRNA from 1 species
UUUUCUUAGGGAAAAANUUNGNGAUGGUACCUAAGGAAUNAGAGGCUGCUAACUUCGUGCCAGCAGCAGCGGUAAUACGAAGGCCUCAAGCGUUAUCCGGAUUUAUUGGGUGUAAAGAGCUCACAGGUGGCCAGUUAAGUCUUUAGUUAAAUCUUGAUGCUCAACAUCAAGGCUGCUAAAGAAACUGACAGGCUAGAGGGUAGAAGAGGUAAGCGGAAUGGCCGGUGUAGUAGUAAAAUGCGUUAAUAUCGGUUAGAACACCAAAGGCGAAGGCAGCUUACUGGUAUACUCCUGACACUAUAUGAGCGAAAGCGUGGGUAGCGAAUGGGAUUAGAUACCCCAGUAGUCCACGCCCUAAAUGAUGAAUGCUAGGCAUUGGGAGUAUCGACCCUUCCAGUGUCGUUCAAGUUAACACGUUAAGCAUUCCACCUGGGGAGUACGGCCGCAAGGCUAAAACUCAAAGGAAUUGACGGGAACCCGCACAAGCGGUGGAGCAUGUGGUUCAAUUCGACAAUAAGCGAGGAACCUUACCAGGGCUUGAAAUCUAGCUGCACGCCCAGCGAAAGUUGGGAAUCCUUCGAGGGUGCUAGACAGGUGCUGCAUGGUUGUCGUCAGCUCGUGUCGUGAGAUGUCGGGUUAAGUCCUUUAACGAGCGCAACCCCCAUCAGAUGUUAAAAUGUUCAUCUGAAACCGCUGCCUUUAAGGCAGAGGAAGAAGGGGACGACGUCAAAUCAGCAUGGUCCUCUGACGCCCUGGGCCACACACGUGCUACAAUGGCCAGUAACAAUGGGUUGCCAAACCGAGAGGUGGAGCUAAUCCCAUCAAACCUGGUCUCAGUUCGGAUUGAGGGCUGCAACUCGCCCUCAUGAAGCUGGAAUCGCUAGUAACCGCGAAUCAGCCUCGUCGCGGUGAAUACGUUCCCGGGUUUUGUACACACCGCCCGU